GACGAAGGGGGCUAGCGUUGUUCGGAAUUACUGGGCGUAAAGCGCGUGUAGGCGGUUGUCCAAGUCGGGUGUGAAAGCCUUGAGCUCAACUCAAGAAAUGCACUCGGUACUGGGCGACUAGAGGACCGGAGAGGAUAGUGGAAUUCCCAGUGUAGUGGUGAAAUACGUAGAGAUUGGGAAGAACACCAGUGGCGAAGGCGGCUAUCUGGACGGUUUCUGACGCUAAGACGCGAAAGCGUGGGGAGCAAACAG
rnacentral:rRNA from 1 species